GUGCUCACUUCAGCAGCACAUAUACUAAAAUUGGAACCACACAGAGAAGAUUAGCAUGGCCCCUGUGCAAGGAUGACACACAAAUUCAUGAAGCGUUCCAUAGUUUU
ensembl:snRNA U6 U6 spliceosomal RNA